CAGGGAGACAACAAAAUGUUUAUAUUAAUUUUGUCACCUUAGGUCGAUCGGUAUCUCAGAUUCUUAAUUUUUAAGAAUUUCAGUUUCUAAGUUUUUUCUAGGUCACACCCAUUACUUUUUCCUGGGCCAUUAGCUCAGGUGGUUAGAGCGCACCCCUGAUAAGGGUGAGGUCCCUGGUUCAAGUCCAGGAUGGCCCAUAUCUCUAUGUUGGGGGUAUAGCUCAGUUGGUAGAGCGCCUGCUUUGCAAGCAGGAUGUCAGCGGUUCGAGUCCGCUUACCUCCACUGAAUACCACCUCUUACAUAUAUUUAAAGAGGGAAAUUGUUUUGAGUCGUGUCCUAAUUUGCUCUGAGCGAAUCUAGCUUCCUAUUUUUUUAAGAAAUAAGAUGCUGGACUCAUUGAAUUUUUAUUCAUUGUUUUUCAGAGAACCUUGACAACUGCAUAGAUUAUUUUUGAAGACAAUAAGCAUCUUUAAUGAUGCAGAUUUAUUAUUUGUGCUUAUGCAUUAAAUAACAAUUCUAUUAAGCUGAUGCUUCAAUUAUUGAAGUUAUU
rnacentral:tRNA from 1 species